GCGACCCCAGAUCGGGCGGGACUACCCGCUGAGUUUAA
rnacentral:rRNA from 1 species